rnacentral:rRNA from 1 species
CCUACGGGAGGCUGCAGUGAGGAAUAUUGGUCAAUGGUCGGGAGACUGAACCAGCCAAGCCGCGUGAGGGAUGAAGGUACAGAGUAUCGUAAACCUCUUUUGUCAGGGAACAAAGUCGGGGACGUGUCCCCGGAUGAGUGUACCUGAAGAAAAAGCAUCGGCUAACUCCGUGCCAGCAGCCGCGGUAAUACGGAGGAUGCGAGCGUUAUCCGGAUUUAUUGGGUUUAAAGGGUGCGCAGGCGGGUUGUUAAGUCAGCUGUCAAAGCCCGGGGCUCAACCCCGACACGGCAGUUGAAACUGGCAGUCUUGAGUAGAGGAGAGGUAGGCGGAAUGCGUGGUGUAGCAGUGAAAUGCUUAGAUAUCGCGAAGAACUCCGAUUGCGAAGGCAGCCUGCCGGACCCAAACUGACGCUGAGGCACGAAAGUGUGGGUAUCGAACAGGAUUAGAUACCCGGGUAGUC